rnacentral:rRNA from 1 species
UACAGAGGUCUCAAGCGUUGUUCGGAUUCAUUGGGCGUAAAGGGUGUGUAGGUGGCGCCGUAAGUCGGGUGUGAAAUUUCGGAGCUUAACUCCGAAACUGCAUUCGAUACUGCGGUGCUUGAGGACUGGAGAGGGGACUGGAAUUCAUGGUGUAGCAGUGAAAUGCGUAGAGAUCAUGAGGAAGACCAGUGGCGAAGGCGGGUCUCUGGACAGUUCCUGACACUGAGACACGAAGGCCAGGGGAGCAAACGGG